rnacentral:rRNA from 2 species
CAGCGAAACUGCGAAUGGCUCAUUAUAUAAGUUAUCGUUUAUUUGAUAAUACCUUACUACUUGGAUAACCGUGGUAAUUCUAGAGCUAAUACAUGCUAAAAAUCCCGACUUCGGAAGGGAUGUAUUUAUUAGAUUAAAAGCCAAUGCCCUCUGGGCUCCUUGGUGAUUCAUAAUAACUUUUCGAAUCGCACGGCCUUGCGCCGGCGAUGGUUCAUUCAAAUUUCUUCCCUAUCAACUUUCGAUGUUUGGGUAUUGGCCAAACAUGGUUGCAACGGGUAACGGAGGGUUAGGGCUCGACCCCGGAGAAGGAGCCUGAGAAACGGCUACUACAUCCAAGGAAGGCAGCAGGCGCGCAAAUUACCCAAUCCCGAUUCGGGGAGGUAGUGACAAUAAAUACUGAUACAGGGCUCUUUUGGGUCUUGUAAUUGGAAUGAGUACAAUUUAAAUCUCUUAACGAGGAACAAUUGGAGGGCAAGUCUGGUGCCAGCAGCCGCGGUAAUUCCAGCUCCAAUAGCGUAUAUUAAAGUUGUUGUGGUUAAAAAGCUCGUAGUUGAACCUUGGGCCUGGCUGGCCGGUCCGCCUCACCGCGUGUACUGGUCCGGCCGGGCCUUUUCCUCUGUGGAACCCCAUGCCCUUCACUGGGCGUGGCGGGGAAACAGGACUUUUACUUUGAAAAAAUUAGAGUGCUCCAGGCAGGCCUAUGCUCGAAUACAUUAGCAUGGAAUAAUGAAAUAGGACGUGUGGUUCUAUUUUGUUGGUUUCUAGGACCGCCGUAAUGAUUAAUAGGGACAGUCGGGGGCAUCAGUAUUCAAUUGUCAGAGGUGAAAUUCUUGGAUUUAUUGAAGACUAACUACUGCGAAAGCAUUUGCCAAGGAUGUUUUCAUUAAUCAGGAACGAAAGUUAGGGGAUCGAAGACGAUCAGAUACCGUCGUAGUCUUAACCAUAAACUAUGCCGACUAGGGAUCGGACGAUGUUAUUUUUUGACGCGUUCGGCACCUUACGAGAAAUCAAAGUG